UUCACAAUUGCAUGAGAAGAGAUCAAUUUAUAUGUAUGGCUCAUACACAUCUCAAAAGGAGAAAUCAAGAGGGACUUAGGUAUGGCCUACCACUACUAUGAAGCCUUUACUGAAUUCGCUGGUUCCUGAGGUUUCUUCUCAAGCUUCUGUAGAAGCUAUCCUCUGCACCACAACAUCAGAUCCUGAAUCAUGUGCUAUCAAUACUACUGGAUUUUCUGUUUUUCUGUGCCUGCUUUUCUUUCCUGUGUAGGUGGACAGAAAUGCACAUGGGUUGCAGUAUCUAGGGAAAUGCCAACUGAGGGUUCUUCAGGCCUAUUACAGACUAACAUAACUUUGAAGAGCAUAGUGAAUUCCAAUAUCUAAUCUUCAUCUUUGCAAGACCAAGAAUUCACUCUUGUCUGAGUCCUAGAAAUGAUUAUUGAUUCGAACAUUAAUUAUAUUUUCCUAACGUUUGAGUCGUCUCAAUGUUAAGUGGAGACAAUCUGGACAAAACAGAAGCUUUCUGCUCCACCUACUUGUAAGGCAAUGAGGGCAAUCACUCAACAGAAUUCCUCCUAAGAGGAACCCUGAGAGUGUUUGGAAGAAAUAAAUACUAUGCAGAAUGGAUGGUGACCAUCAAGAAAAAACUUCAGCGGAAAAAGAUGGCUCCCAGAUUUCUUUCUCAAGGAAACCAGAGCUCCAGGAGAAUGUUUUGUUUGACUGAGUACUUUGCUGGGCCAGAAGAUGAAAAAUUGGGACCAGGCAUGGUGGCUCACUCCUGUAAUCCCAGCACUUUGGGAGGCUGAGGCAGGCGGAUCAUGAGGUCAGGAGAUCGAGACCAUCCUGGCUAACACGGUAAAACCGUGUUUCUACUAAAAAUACAAAAAAUUAGCCAGGCGUGGUGGCGGCGGGCACCUAUAGUCCCAGCUACUCAGGAGGCUGAGGCAGGAGAAUGGCGUGAACCUGGGAGGCAGAGCUUGCAGUGAGCAGAGAUCGCACCACUGCACUCCAGCCUGGGCGACAGAGUGAGACUACAUCUCAAAAAAUAAUAAUAAUAAAAUAAAAUUGGAAGUCAGAGUCAAGGUAGAGCUAAACUGUAUUAGGCCGUUACAGUGCACAACUCCAGGUGCCGUCACUGGCAUUAAAGCCAGGAAGCAAUUGUGGAAAAGGGGAAUGUCUAAUGGUACCUAUCUCUAUGAGGUAAUAUAAGAUCUCUAUUUUUCUGGCAUACGCUUUCAGUAAUUUUAUCAUGUUUGAUAAUUCUUUUGUGACACUGGAUUGAUUUUGGGUGAUAGAAUGUUAAAAAAGGGCUGAGUUAUGAAUCUGAGUUACCACAGGUGAACGCAGGUACUUUUCCUGCAGCUUACCAGCUGAAAGAAAAGAGAAUAUUUGGGUUUCAUAUGAUUAUGGGAUACUGAUGUCUAAUUUGGGGGGGUUGUUAAGAUACUUAAACAAAAAGAAAUUAUAAACUGUAUGGAAAUUGUAGAAGCUCGACGUGUGUUUACUAUCUUCUUACAGGAAAGCCGAGUGAUACGGACUACUCAUAAGAAACUAAACAAGAUCAUCAAGUUGGUAACAAUGAGGGGUG
rnacentral:lncRNA from 1 species